CCUACGGGGUGCAGCAGUGGGGAAUAUUGGGCAAUGGGCGAAAGCCUGACCCAGCAACGCCGCGUGAAGGAAGAAGGCUCUCGGGUUGUAAACUUCUUUUGACAGGGAAGAGCAGAAGACGGUACCUGUCGAAUAAGCCACGGCUAACUACGUGCCAGCAGCCGCGGUAAUACGUAGGUGGCACGCGUUGUCCGGAUUUACUGGGUGUAAAGGGCGUGUAGCCGGGCUGACAAGUCAGAUGUGAAAUCCGGGGGCUCAACCCCCGAACUGCAUUUGAAACUGUUGGUCUUGAGUAUAGGAGAGGCAGGCGGAAUGCGUAGUGUAGCGGUGAAAUGCGUAGAUAUUAGGCGGAACACCGGUGGCGAAGACGGCCUGCUGGACGACAACUGACGGUGAGGCACGAAAGCGGGGGGAGCAAACAGGAUUAGAUACCCGUGUAGUC
rnacentral:rRNA from 1 species